rnacentral:SRP_RNA from 2 species
GGGCGGGCCCUGUGCGAUGGAGCCCCGUGAACCGUGUCAGAUGGGGAACCAAGCAGCACUAAGCGACGGUUUCCAUGCGCCACAGUUUUCCUGUCCUCU